rfam:Candidatus Colwellbacteria bacterium RIFCSPLOWO2_01_FTLL_48_10 rifcsplowo2_01_scaffold_2767, whole genome shotgun sequence.
GGCGCCAUUGCUAAGUGGAAAAGCGAAGGUCUGCAAAACCUUUAUGCGCGAGUUCGAUUCUCGCUGGCGCCU